GAACGAUGAAGCUCCGUCCCUUCCCUUGCCUUGUUAUUUUAGGCUUAAAAAAGACAAAAUUGGGACUCAGAGUAAUUGGCUUGGAAAUCGGUCCGCCGCGCCUUUAAGAGGCAGUGGUGAAUGCAACGUCACUUCUGCGCGCGGCGACGCUGCUCAGUGACGUCACUUCCGCCAACUGCGAGCCGUGCUACCACCGCCCGGUCCGGUAGUGUUGGGCGCUCAUUUGCAUAUCCAUGGCCAAGCGCAAAGUGACGUUCGAGGAGCCCCCGGCGGAGGGGGAGGGGUCAGCAGGGCCCCCCCGGAAACGGGCCGUGGCCGUGGGGGGUCCCGGCAGU